GACGAACGCUGGCGGCGUGCUUAACACAUGCAAGUCGAACGGAAAGGCCCUGCUUUUGUGGGGUGCUCGAGUGGCGAACGGGUGAGUAACACGUGAGUUACCUGCCCUUGACUUUGGUAUAACUUCAUGAAACUGGGUCUAAUACCGGAUAGGAGCUCCUGCUGCAUGGUGGGGGUUGGAAAGUUUCGGCGGUUGGGGAUGGACUCGCGGCUUAUCAGCUUGUUGGUGGGGUAGUGGCUUACCAAGGCUUUGACGGGUAGCCGGCCUGCGAGGGUGACCGGCAACAGUGGGACUGAGAUACGGCCCAGACUCAUACGGGAGGCAGCAGUGGGGAAGAGUGCAAAAGGGGCGGAAGCCUGAUGCAGAAACGCCGCGUGCGGGAUGACGGCCAUCGGGUUGGAAACCGCUUGCGCCUGUGACGAAGAGUGAGUGAACGUAAUGGGUAAAGAAGCACCGGCUAAAUACGUG
rnacentral:rRNA from 1 species